UACGAAGGGGCUAGCGUUGUUCGGAAUCACUGGGCGUAAAGCGCACGUAGGCGGAUUGUUAAGUCGGGGGUGAAAUCCUGAGGCUCAACCUCAGAACUGCCUUCGAUACUGGCAAUCUCGAGUCCGGAAGAGGUUGGUGGAACAGCUAGUGUAGAGGUGAAAUUCGUAGAUAUUAGCUAGAACACCAGUGGCGAACGGCGGAGCCACUCGUCCGGUAGUAGCAACGGCCGUGAG
rnacentral:rRNA from 1 species